ACGCUCGACACCUACGGGAGGUAGCAGUGGGGAAUAUUGCACAAUGGGGGAAACCCGUGAUGCAGCGACGCCGCGUGGAGGAAGAAGGUCUUCGGAUUGUAAACUCCUGUUGUUGGGGAAAAAGAGGAUGGUACCCAACAAGGAAGUGACGGCUAACUACGUGCCAACAGCCGCGGUAAUCUGAGCGGGCUGGCAAGGC
rnacentral:rRNA from 1 species